rnacentral:rRNA from 1 species
UACGUAGGUGGCAAGCGUUGUCCGGAUUUACUGGGUGUAAAGGGAGCGCAGGCGGGAUAGCAAGUCAGCGGUGAAAUGCAUGGGCUCAACCCAUGAACUGCCGUUGAAACUGUUAUUCUUGAGUGGAGUAGAGGCAAGCGGAAUUCCGAGUGUAGCGGUGAAAUGCGUAGAUAUUCGGAGGAACACCAGUGGCGAAGGCGGCUUGCUGGGCUCUAACUGACGCUGAGGCUCGGAAGCGUGGGUAUCGAAC